CCUACGGGAGGCUGCAGUGAGGAAUAUUGGUCAAUGGACGAGAGUCUGAACCAGCCAAGUAGCGUGAAGGAUGACUGCCCUAUGGGUUGUAAACUUCUUUUAUAUGGGAAUAAAAUGUUCCACGUGUGGGAUUUUGUAUGUACCAUAUGAAUAAGGAUCGGCUAACUCCGUGCCAGCAGCCGCGGUAAUACGGAGGAUCCGAGCGUUAUCCGGAUUUAUUGGGUGUAAAGGGAGCGUAGGUGGAUUGUUAAGUCAGUUGUGAAAGUUUGCGGCUUAACCGUAAAAUUGCAGUUGAAACUGGCAGUCUUGAGUACAGUAGAGGUGGGCGGAAUUCGUGGUGUAGCGGUGAAAUGCUUAGAGAUCACGAAGAACUCCGAUUGCGAAGGCAGUUCACUGGACUGCAACUGACACUGAGGCGCGAAAGUGUGGGUAUCAAACAGGAUUAGAUACCCCUGUAGUC
rnacentral:rRNA from 1 species